GGAGUUAGCCGGUGCUUCUUCUGUGAGUGAUGUCCUUCCUGCCGGUUAUUGACCCGCAGGCCUUCUUCCUCACUGAAAGUGCUUUACAACCCGAAGGCCUUCUUCACACACGCGGCAUGGCUGGAUCAGGGUUGCCCCCAUUGUCCAAUAUUCCCCACUGCUGCCUCCCGUAGGAGUCUGGGCCGUGUCUCAGUCCCAGUGUGGCUGAUCAUCCUCUCAGACCAGCUACGGAUCGUCGCCUUGGUGAGCCGUUACCUCACCAACCAGCUAAUCCGACAUAGGCUCAUCCGAUAGCGCGAGGCCCGAAGGUCCCCCGCUUUCCCCCGUAGGGCGUAUGCGGUAUUAGCCUGGGUUUCCCCAGGUUAUCCCCCGACUACCGGGCAGAUUCCUAUGCAUUACUCACCCGUCCGCCGCUCGCCACCAGGGAGCAAGCUCCCCGUGCUGCCGCUCGACUUGCAUGUGUUAGGCCUGCCGCCAGCGUUCAUCUGACCAGAUCAAAUUCUGA
rnacentral:rRNA from 1 species